rnacentral:rRNA from 1 species
UACGUAGGGUGCGAGCGUUGUCCGGAAUUAUUGGGCGUAAAGAGCUCGUAGGCGGUCUGUCGCGUCGAUCGUGAAAACUUGGGGCUUAACCCUGAGCUUGCGGUCGAUACGGGCAUGACUGGAGUUCGGCAGGGGAGACUGGAAUUCCUGGUGUAGCGGUGAAAUGCGCAGAUAUCAGGAGGAACACCGGUGGCGAAGGCGGCAUCCUGGACCAACACUGACACUGAGGAGCGAAAGCCAGGGGAGCGAAACGGG